CGCAUCUGUGCAUGCAGCAUAUCAAUAAGCGGAGGAAAAGAAACUAACAAGGAUUCCCCUAGUAACGGCGAGUGAAGCGGGAAGAGCUCAAAUUUGAAAUCUUAAAGGGUUUCCCUUUACGAAUUGUAGUUUAAAGAAGUGUUUUCUGUUGAGGUUUUGGUAAAAGUUCUUUGGAAUAGGACAUCAUAGAGGGUGAGAAUCCCGUAUUUGACCUUUACUUUCAACUUUGUGAUACACUUUCAAAGAGUCGGAUUGUUUGGGAAUGCAGUCCAAAAUGGGUGGUAAAUUUCAUCUAAAGCUAAAUAUUGGCGAGAGACCGAUAGCGAACAAGUACCGUGAGGGAAAGAUGAAAAGAACUUUGAAAAGAGAGUUAAACAGUACGUGAAAUUGUCAAAAGGGAAGCGUUUGACACCAGUGUUGUUUUUCCUGAAAAUCAAUUAAAGAACUGUUUAUGCUAAGUUGUUUAGACUUUAUCAGCUAAUCUGCUUAGUUUUGAGCUUUUCUUUAAUGCACUUUUCAGGUUAACAAGUCAACAUCAAUUUCUUUUGCUGUAAAAAAGCUUGAGGAAGGUGGCUUGAGAUUCGUCUUAAGUGUUUAUAGCCUCUUGCCUAUGCAGUCGGAGAGAUUGAGGUCUGCAGCGUAGAUCCUUCGGGGCUAAAUGCAUUUGUGCUAAGUUAUAGCAUUUUAUAGACAACUUGUUGACUAUGAUUUGUCUUGUAGCUUACUCGCUUAUGUUAUUUUACCUACGCUUAGGAUGUUGAGCGCAUGUCUCUCUCU
rnacentral:rRNA from 1 species